UACGUAGGUGACAAGCGUUGUCCGAAGUUACUGGGCGUAAAGAGCUCGUAGGUGGUUUGUCGCGUUGUCCGUGAAAACUCACAGCUUAACUGUGGGCGUGCGGUGAUACGGGGCAGAACUAGAGUGCUGUAGGGGAGAACGGAAUUCCUGGUGUAGCGGUGAAAUGCGCAGAUAUCAGGAGGAACACCGGUGGCGAAGGCGGUUCUCUGGGCAUUACCUGACGCUGAGGAGCGAAAGUGUGGGGGAGCGAACAGG
rnacentral:rRNA from 1 species